AUGUGUGUCAGAAUACUUCAGACUGCAGAAGUAAUAGAGAUGGGUAUAUUGUGCUAUAGACAUGGGAAUUCUCUCAACCCUGCUGUAGUUGCCAUGUGAGUUCAUGCAAAAUGCCCUCCCACCCCAGGAAUGACUAAAGCUCAAAAGUGGAUAUUAUUAUCUCCGUGCUCCCUAGGACACAGAGAACACUUGCUGGAGUCUGUGCUCUGAUGUGUUCGUACUUACCCAUGAAAGAGAAUCAUCACAGUUACUUGUGUCUGAGAAAUGGCUUUAUUAGUUAAAAGAAGUACUUGGAUGCAUAGUCCCUCACCAGUGCUAGAAGAAAGGAAGGAAGUGUGAGCUUAUUUUAUGAAAUCAAAUGGGAAUUUAAUAUUGUUGAUAUCACAACAUUGGUUUUAUGAAGAGCUAACCCUAAUCAGUUGAAAAAAUGAAUUCAUCUAGUAUAUAUAGAUUCUUCAGGGCACUUUACCAGUCUUUAGCAUUCUUACCCUUCCUUAUAGUCAUGUCUGUAGUUAGCGAGUUCCUUUAAAAUGGAAGAAAAAAAUUAAAAUGUGUUAUGAUGAAAAGAGCCAAGUUAAAAAGGACAAUUUCUUUACACUAAGGAAGUUGGAACUUUUAUGAUGGUAAGUGUGUGCAAGAUUGUGUAGAGUACUUCCUGCUUUUAUUCUCCCUUUAUAAUAUGGAUAAAAUCUUGCAAAACUGAGACCUCCAAAAUUUUAAAUUUAUCAUUUCAUCUAAUUCCAAUUCCUUAUCUCAUGAAUCAUUUUGAUUCUUCAACAUGGUUUUCUUUUACGAUGUUGGCUCAUCAUUUACACACAAAACAAGAUGACUUAUACAUAUACUAAAUGAGCUUUCCACACCUAACAGCUUUUCACCAUUUUACUUCAUAUUCCUUGUAGAUCUGGUACACUGUUCUAUCAGCCACUUUGACUUCAGUAAUUUAGUUAAGAUCCAUACACAUGAGUUUUCAUAUUUACUGUAAUAAUACCUAUGUAUGCUGAACACUCAGGACUGUAUAAUUUGCCUCAUUUCACUAAUCCUCCCAGCCUGCAAUUUGACACCUGGUACCAUUCUGAGCACUGGAACUCCUGCACUCAGGAUGCAGCUAGAUUUAGUAUGGGAAUUGACUUGCAAAUAGUGGGACCAUUUAGAAAAGUACUAUGACACAAAGCUUCAUGAAGGUCAAACCUGAUAACACAAGUAAAAAUACCUCAUGAGCAGUGACAUUCUAUUGAAAUGGAGCACUACUCUCUCAGGACUCUAUUACUAUCUCCAAUAACAUGCUUUAUACAAGCUUUAUAAUCAAGCUGAGUUCCCUACAAAGUCUCUGGCUUCUUGACCAGCCCAAACAUACAAACAACUGUAUCUUGUUUUUUUGUUGUUAUUGUUGUUUAUUUGUUUUGUUGUUGUUUUGUUUUGUUACUAAAUUGUAAUGUGAGCUUUAUAAUUAUUGCUGAAAAAUAAUCAUUUCCUAUUUUGGAAAAACCUCUACAAUCUUACAACCUCUUCAAAUCUUAUUUGGAACACUUGACACAAAGUUUAGAAGGUAUUAUGUCAUUAUGAUCUGUAAUUUGAUUUCUAAAUUUCAAUGCAAGUAACUGAAUCACGGAUAGAAAGAAAGCAAUUAAUUUAAGAAAGAAAUCUGUAAUGGCUCAAUAAGAUGCCGAACUCCAGCACAUAGUCAAUGGUACAUUCUGCAUUGUAAAGCACUGCCUCUUUCUGGGGACAUGGGUGCAGCAUUGGCAGUACUGGUAGCAUCAGGUAUUAUCUUAACAACCUUGGUACUGGUAGCCAGGUAUACCAGCAACAUUUGAAAAGGCCUCCUGUUGCUGUUAUACCACAGAAGGUAAGGCAAAGUGCUUCUUCUAAGAGAACUUUGUUAGAGAUUAAAGGCUUGAGAAGAAAUAAUCUGUGGUGCAGUUAUCAUAGAAAUAUGUAGCCAUUGGUAGUAAAGAAAGAAGGAAAAAACACAUCACAGGAACCGAUAGAAAGGUUGGUCGAAUGCAUUUCUCUGUCAAAUAGGUAAUAUGAACAAUAAUGGAUUUUUAUCUAAGCUACUUAAAGUCCUCAGUCUUUAGACUGCAUUAAGCUACACUUUACUUGCAAAUGUUUCCUUGAAACACUCUUUUCUCAGUAGUAACUUUUUCUGAAGGGUUGUUUGUGUUUGUGUGUUUGUCUGUCUUUUUAUGCUAAGAGGAAAACAUCAAUCAGUAGAAGGAAAUGUGUUUUCUUCCAGUAGUUUUCCCACCAAAACAAAGAACAUCACUUUCAUCCUGUCACAUUCAUUUAAACCUUAGCACCACAGCACAGCAUUUAUAUACUAGCAAAGCUACCUCUUCUUGAAUAACCUUACUUUGCUGACAUCACUUCUCUAUUCUUCAGUCUCUAAGGGACCAAUUAAUUUAGCAAAUAUCAGUUAUAUUUUAACAUCUUCCUGUAUGGAAGUGGUGCUAAAUUUGAAACACUGCCAAUAGGUGAAGCAGUGGAGAAAAUUUAAGACAAAAAGAGAUAAUGGUACCUCAAGUCAAACAAUCCAGGAAAAGAAGAUCAAAUACAUAGCAUUAAAUAACUGAGACUUUUACAGUAGAAGAAUAGAACAGAAAUAAAUUAUGGGUAUUUUUCUCCACUCAUUUAUUAGUCAAGCUUAUAGACUACAUUUAUACCUGGCAAUCAGCCUGAAGUCAUUGGUCUACAUUAGACCGUGUGUCUAUUUCUGAUAAUGAAAAGCCCAAAGCAGUUUACUGGUAAGUUAUUCAAAUAGUAGAAGAAAGGAGGAGGAAGAAAGGAGGAGGAAGUGUAGAGCUUUAAGUUAGGGAUGCCCACACAGAAUCUUUACAGCAGAGAAAACAGUCCAAAUGCUGCCUUUUGAAACUUUGACUGUUACACCUCCCCCACGUAGUUAAACAAGAUCAUUGCCUAUCUCUUCGAUAUAGGUUGUGGGCUUCUGAACUUUAGAUUCCACUUCCUUGAUGGAGAACAAUGUCUUUCACUCUCAGCACUUCAUUAUGCUCCAUCAAUGAUUGAAGGCUGAAUGCAUUUUAUCCAUUGUGGGAAGGUGGCUUUCUCUGGCUACCACUUCUGGCAGAGGUUUUCUUUUCCUGUGGAAUUUAAAGUACUUUGUUUGCUGUCCCAUAUCAAAGCCCUGAAAAUUCAACUCUUGCCUUCAUGCUUCACGAUUUCUCACUGUCUUUGCCCUUUGCAGCUUUCCAUGUCCUAUCUCCUUCUUCUAUUCAAAGUUCUAGG
rnacentral:lncRNA from 1 species